rnacentral:rRNA from 1 species
CCUGUCGGUGUAACUGGCAUGUCGCGGCAUGUCCUGUCGGUGGUGAGCGGGAUUCCCGGUGCAGCGUAGGCUUUAUAGCCGAAGCUUGUGCCGUGUGAAGUUCCGUUUGCCGAUCUCUCCUACUCCGGUGCUCUUAAACGAGUGUCGAGGUAGGCCGACACGUUCACUUUGAACAAAUUAGAGUGCUUAAAGCAGGCUGAAAUAUCUGCCUGAAUAGUGGUGCAUGGAAUGAUAAAAUAGGACCUCGGUUCUAUUUUGUUGGUUUUAGGAAUAUGAGGUAAUGAUCAAUGUGGACUGGCGGGGGCAUUCGUAUUGCGACGUUAGAGGUGAAAUUCUUGGAUCGUCGCAAGACGCACUAGAGCGAAAGCAUUUGCCAAGUAUGUCUUAAUUGAUCAAGAACGAAAGUUAGAGGUUCGAAGGCCACCAGAUACCGCCCUAGUUCUAACCAUAAACGAUGCCAGCCAGCAAA